rnacentral:lncRNA from 1 species
GGUCUCAAACUCCUAAACUCAAGCGAUCCACCCCCGCCUGGGCCUCCCAAAGUGCUGGGAUUACAGGUGUGAGUUGCCCCACCCAGCCGUGAUUAAUUUGGGCUUUCAACACCCUAAAAUGGGAGAAGGUGGUAGCAUAGAGUGUGUAUGACUGAUUGUAUUUACAUUUGUUGCAAUUUGAAGAAAUGUAGUUAGAAGUCCAUCUGCAGAGAGAUUAUGACCAUCGCUUCUGUCUGACCAAGGUCUGUUUUCCUGAUCGGUUGGAUGCCUCAGCGUGCAUUCCCAGGACUUUAUGAGAUGAUCCACUGAAGGAUUUCAGCAAGAACAUUCUGGAGUGUCAACUGAUACGUUUUUCAGUCUCAGCUUGCUCACUGUUUGAGUAGUGUCACAUGUACAUGCGUGUUAUUAGAGGCGAAUGCACGUUUUUGUUACUGAGAGAGUGGCCCUAGAGCAGAUGCCAGCGAACUGCAGCCCACAGCCCGAAUCUAGCCUGCCGCCUCUUUUCAUGUGGCUCACAAGCUAGUCAUAGUAUUAUAUUUUAAUAGUGUGGGAAAACAUCAGAAGAAGAACAAUAUUUUGUGGAACAUGAAAAUUAUAUGUUUACAUUUUAGCAUCCAUAAACGUGGUUUCAUUAGAACACACUUCUAUGGUUUGAAUGUCCUCUCCAAAACUCAUGUUGAAACUUAGUCUCUAACGUCACUAUAUUAAGAGAUAGGGCCUUUAAGAAGUGAUGGGGGCAUGGGAACUCUGCCCUCAUGAAUGGAUUAAUCUAUUCAUGGAUUAAUGGAUUAAUGCAUUAAUGGAUUGGUGGUUUAUCAUCGCAAGGAAACUGGCAGUUUUGUAAGAAGAGGAAGGGAGACAGUGGCAGGGAAACUGGCGGCUUUGUAGCAAGAGGAAGUGAGACUUGAGUCCUCUCACCACAGGUUGCCCUGCACCAACCACCACAGGACUCUGUAGAGAGUCCUGGCUAGCAAGAGGAUCUUCACCAGAUGUGGCCUCUUGACCUGAGACUUCUCAGCCUCCAUAACUGUUAAGUUUCCUGGAGAAUUCUGAAGGAUAUGCCCCCUUCCUCUCCUACAGCUCAGAGUUGUUCUGUGCACUUGGAUCAGCCUCCACAACUUCCCCCCGGGACAGGGCACCCAUCACCAUCUCCUACCUGGACAGCAGCAAACACUGCCCCCGUGACUUCCUGGUGCCAUCCUUGGCUCCAUUACGUCCAUUCUCCAGUGGCUGGCAGAGUGAGCUUGAAGAACGUGUGACAUGCCCUUCAGAAUGUUCUACUUCCUGUUCCAGAAGGACAGCCCCUCAUGCCUUCCCGCGGGCCACACGCCACCUCUUCCUCAGUGCCCCAGCCUGGCAUCCUCUUCCUGCAUUCAGCCUUCUUUUCCGAGGUGUCAUCUUGCUGGAGGGCAGAAGGAUUCCCUGGAACCUGGGGGCCAGCAGGACAGAGGAAACAGAAAGUACAUGACCGAUGAUGUCUUUCGACCACAGAAAGGGCUGGAAGAAGCAGGGGACCUACUGUUUGAAUAAACCCAGUGGAAAAACAGAAGCCCCAUUUCAUACUUGACUCAGCUCUUCAAGUUUAAAUCUUGAAUCUCCUCAACUACACGGAACAGUGUCUCUCCCAAGUCAUCUGACACCCACUCUGUUCUCUGGAUCAUUCCUUCCUAGAGAACGUUGCUCUUGGAGGGCUGUGAUCUGCUCUCACCCACUUGCCUUUCUGACCCACUGAGUGCAUCUCAACAGUCACUUGGGGUGAUCCGAUCUGACCAGGAAGGGUUGGGUGGCUCGUGGAGCUUGGGAAGCACUCUCACUGUGGCGGUCCCCAUUGGUGGUCAUGGGGUUGCCACAGUGAGCUACGUUUCUACCCUCAUCUCUCUAUAUGUUACCGUGGAAUCUCUGACUGAGGACCCAUGGGCUCACCCAAUGUGAUAAAGUCCUGAAGCUCAGCCGGGACGUCCGACCCCAGCUGCAGGACUUUCCAAUAGACAGAUGCAUAGAACUUGAGAAGAAAUCGACUUAGAAACCUGAAGUUGGAAAACUGGUUGCCUGACAUUCUGUGCAAGACUGAAUCUCUGAGAAAUGAAGGCUGUGUAACUUUGGGACCAUGUCUUUUCCAGCCUACAUAGACCCCCAGGAAACUUUGCAGUUGUUCCCCAAGUAUGGAUGGAGUCAAACUUGAUGUCCUUUCAUCCCCCCAUCCCAUCCACUAAUCCAUAUCCUUUGGAAAUUUUAGAGUGCCGGGCCUCAUGUAAAUACACCAAAAACAAUUUAAGUCAUUUAUGUUCUACUAAGCCAAGAGUUCUUUAGCGGUGGAAGAAGAUGGGGUCUUACACGAAUGGAAGGGUCUUGGCUAUUUGCGUCGGUAUCAACAGAAGGACUAGACGCUUGCACUAAAAGAAAAAGCUGAGGGAUGGGGGCAGGAAGCGGGAAGCUGGGACCCAAGCCCCACCUUCCUGAGUUGGAAGGUGACAGGUAGACUCCUGCUUGUUUGCCAGAGAGGCCUGGCAGAGGAGGUGCAUCCCAGCACAGAAGGGCAGCACAGAGGCAGCCUGAGAAGAUUCUGUCGCUGCCAGGUCACCAGGACCUCUGGACCACAGCUGGGUUGCGCUGUUUUCCAGUUUGUGAAACUAGGACUUUGGGGAACAUCCUGUGAAUUGGUGUCAUUUUGAUUUUCCUGGAGGAUUUUUGAGGUCAGCGUGACUGCUGUCACUAACUAAAAUAAAAUCCGAAGUCCCCAAGUGACUGAACAGACCCCCUCUUGGCCAAGGGGACCCCAGAGAAACCUGAAAGCUGAGCUCCCAGCCAUGAGGGGACGGGCGAUCGGACACGCUUCAUCACAGUCCCUCCCCUUUGUGGUUUAAACGACGAUGAUCGGCUGUCAUGCUAAAAUAGAGACACGAGACCGACAGCACAGACUCCUUAUGGCAAUAAGACACCAAAUUAUAAGCAGCACCUCAGGCCACGCCAGGUAAGGGUCGAGCCGCGCACUCUACACUUAGAGAACGGACUCUGCUCUCACACCACAGCGUCUUCUUUUUCUUCAGCAGCUAAACACGCACCGGCCCCGAGAUUCAAACGACUGCAGCUCAUCCACCUGCAGACGCUGGCUGACCCCGUUCCACAGCUGUGACUAUAGCUUUGAUUGGACAAGAGGUUGAUUUCAGUCUCCUGGUAAGAGACCACCAACCAUAGACCUGGUUCAGGCUGAUUAUAGAAGCUGCACACUUGUAUGCCUUCGAGUCCCUGCCUCACCUUUUGACGUGUAGGGACUCAUUGUAAUGCUUUUAAAUGUGAAGCCUCCACCCCAAAGUGAACAUGGGACGCAUGUAACGUGCAUGUUCAGUGGGCACGGCUCAGGACUCUCUUUGUGAAUAUUCAUAGCUCCUCCUGGAACCUGAAUAUGUAUGUUUGGCCAGCUCAAUUCAGCAUGAGGCUCCUGCUGCAACACCGCCUCCUUCCAGGUGCCUGCCAGCUGUUUCUGCCAGAGGCUGCGUCUCCCGGCCUGUCAGAAUGGCCACCCUGCAGGCUGUAAUCCUUUAGAAGAAAUAAAGAUCCCCUUUCCAGAUGUAUAGAUCUUGUGAUUUUUUUCCAUUCACAUCCUUGCAUCUUAUAAUGCCCUGUCUCCAUGGGGGUUACAUAGAAAGCCCUCAGCCUCUAGGGCAGAUGGAGCCAGGACUGAGGGUGGGGGUGGAGAAGGAUCAGGAGACUCACUUCAAGGACUUUCUGGUGCCGGCAGUGUAGGCUUGCCAGAUGAAAUACAGGACACCCAGCAACAUGAACUUUCGUAAUUUUUAUAGUGUAAAUGUGUUCCAAAUAUUGCAUGGGACAUGCUUAUCCUGAAGAAUUAUUCAUUGUUUAUCUGAAAUCCAAAUUUAACUAGGUGUCCUGUAUUUUUAUUUGCUAAAUCUGGUGACCCUUCACUGGGGAGACGCUUUUAAACAGCCUCAACUUAGAAAUUCUUCUCUUCCUGCCAAAAGCGCUAGGGUCUGUAUAUGGGUGCAUGGAAACACGAAAUUAUUGUCACAGGACUGAAGAGUAUGAAAGACUUCUAGUAACCACCAGCUGUGGCAGGGGCCUGUGCAGGGGGUACCCUGGCAGGGAGGAAGCUGCCUUAAUUUUCAACCUCGGACAGAAAAGCGCAUCUGUUAGACACAGCAGAAAGCAGACCUACAUGUAUGGUUAAUAAGGACUAUGUAUUUGACUGCUGUGGGUUCAAUUGUGUCCCUGCGAGAGACACAUUGAAGUCCUAACCCCUGCUGCUUCAGCAUUUGGCUUUAUUUGGAAAUAAGGUCACUGCCAGUGCAGUUAGCUGAGAUGAAAUCAUACUGGUGUCUGGUGGGCCCUUAUUCCAAUAUGACUCGUGAUAUCACAAGAAGAGGAGGACAGACACAGAGACACACUCCAGAGGGAGAAGGCCAUGUGACAGCCACGGACUGCUGGAAGCAGCGGAAUCUAAAGGCAAGGCAGGGAACAGAUUCUCCCUCCCAGUCCUUCGAGAGAACCAACUCUGCCGACAGCUUGAUUUCAGAAUUCUGGUUUCCAGAACGGUGAGAGAAUAAAUUCCUGUUGUUUUAAGCCUCCCGUUUGUGGUGCUUUGUUAUGGCAGCCCCAGGGACUAAUGCAGUCACCGUCACUUGAUUGCAGACAAAACGACUGAGGGUUCUCUGCAAUGAAUUUCAAGUUCUGAAUUGAAAGAGGCUUCAGAGCCUGAAGAAAGAGGCGAUGCCAGCACUCUCUGGAGUGGGAUCCACAGAAGCAGAGAAAGCCCAGGGGAUGAGCCAACCCAGAAUCCAAACGCCCGUGGAUCGGGCCAGACCCAGGACGGCGCUAUCUUGCACACCCAUCACAGGCUUGGGGACACUAGAACUGCACUGUCAGAUAUUCCUGACUUCAUGUGUGUGUGUUUGUGUGUGUGUAGAUCAGGCCAUAUGAUUUACUUGCUGCACUCUGAGCGAUGCUGUGUAGAUAAAGCUAUAUUAUCUAUUUGCUACACUCUGAAUAAUGCCUUCCUCAGUGAUAAUCAUAAUCAAGUGAGCUUUGGAUUGUCAUUAUGAAGUCUCAAAUUAAAACAAUUGGUUGAGAUACUGCCAGCAAGGCAACUAGAUCGGGGAUUGCAGCUGCUGAUGCCAGUCUAGUAUUUAGGUAAGAGGAUGCCUCCACCCUCUUAGAGCAUGUGGCUUGCACAUCCAUUCUUUCAGUGCAGGAAGGGCUGGAGUGUCCACUCCCUACUCCCAACCCCAUCAGUUGUUGUAUGGUCCAAAAUGCAAAGUAAUUUUAAUGUGAUCCAAGAUGCAUAUAAAAACAUUUUAAAAACAGAUAUGUUAUGCAUUGCUUAGAAUGAUGCACCAUCCGCUUCAUGAACAAGCAAGAACUAACUCUAUCAUUGACUUCAUCCACAAAUACUAGAGGUGAUGAACUUGAGGUCAAAGUUCCGAAGUCAGACAGCAUGGGUUUAUUCAUCGCCUGCUAUGUGCAAAUCCUAGAUGUCACCAGGCUCUGCUCACUUGGUGUCUUGGCCACUCUGGGUGAUGUUUACACAAGGCUUGGUGGCUUUGAGAUGGGUUGCAAACAAGAGAUAUCAGUUGUUGGACUUUUGCUUAUAGCUUGGGGUUGGACAUCCUCUAUCCCUCGAUACCUCCUUGCACCCAUCAGCCGUUAUCUUUGAAGGAAACUUUUUCCUUGAGUCUGGUUCCUUGUCUUCAGGUUCUAACCUCAUGGUUUUGGAUCCUUGUCCCUAUGGUUGUGAUCCUUCCUGUCCUUGGCUCUAGUGCUCUUUUUUUUUUUUUUUUCUAUUUCUUUCCUCUACCUGUGCACAUGACCUCUUUGAAGAGCUCACCUCCUCCAGGAAGCCUCCCUGGAAUCACCCUUUUGCCUUCCAUUCUCCUUGUUUAUACAGUCCAUGUCAGUAUAUCCAAAUUGAAUUAUCGCGGUGUGCUGCUUUGCAAUGUGUAUCUGAUUUCACCAAAACCCUCUACUGUCUCUAAUCCCGGGUAUCCAAUUUCAUGUGAAGUUCAGUGAUGUGCUCCUCCCUCCUCCUCUUGCACGCAUGAGCAGGUACUCAACACUUUCUGGUCCAGCUACAUGUGACAUGAGGCCACUCACGCUCUUUUUAAUUAACCCUUAUGACAAUCAUGUGCGUUAUGGAGAAAAUUAAUGGAGGAAAAAUUACAGAGUCACCCGAAACAGUUGCGCUGCUUAUCACCCGGUGUUUGAGCCUGUUUCCCCUGUAAUUAGAUUACAUGUGAGGCAGCCCCAGCUAAUUGUCUGUGCCACCCACCGGGGAACUCCAGCUCUAUCUGUGAACACCCAGGCCUUCCCGCCGCAGGACAGAUGUUGGGUGAGGCUUGCCUCCCACGCAAACAUCUGCUCUGUUGUUCCGAGUCAGUCACGAGAGCCAGCCGGCUUAGACAAGCAGGGGAUGAAUUCCUGGGCGAGAUGCUUGAUCCUGCCAAGUUUCUGAGCACCAGGCUUGGGCCUCUUGAACAGUUCCCUGCAUCUUCCAUGAUCGGCCAGUGCCUCUGCUUCUGCAUUUAGAAACCAGAGUUCACUUCUGGUGGCCUCAAGCCAAAAUGAGUCUACGAACCAGAAGUCUCUUGACAUUGACACUGAUAAACUUUGAUAUGGAAGCAUUUUUGUUUUUGGCAACCAUCAAUUUUUUUUUGUUUUUCCUCAAACACAUGCAUGGAUGAUGUGAGAACCGGUACCUGGAAACUGAGAGACUGCCGCAUGUGUUUCGGGCUCCCAGCUCUAUCCAUAACUGUCUUUGGGGGCUUCCUAGGCAACCUGG